GAUGAACGCUGGCGGCGUGCCUAAUACAUGCAAGUCGAGCGAACAGACGAGGAGCUUGCUCCUCUGACGUUAGCGGCGGACGGGUGAGUAACACGUGGAUAACCUACCUAUAAGACUGGGAUAACUUCGGGAAACCGGAGCUAAUACCGGAUAAUCUAUUGAACCGCAUGGUUCAAUAGUGAAAGACGGUUUUGCUGUCACUUCUCGAUGGAUCCGCGCCGCAUUAGCUAGUUGGGAAGGUAACGGCUUACCAAGGCAACGAUGCGUAGCCGACCUGAGAGGGUGAUCGGCCACACUGGAAAUGAGACACGGACCAGACUCCAACGGGAGGCAGCAGUAGGGAAUGAUGCGCAAUGGGCGAAAGCCUGACGGAGCAACGCCGCGUGAGUGAGGAAGGUCUUCGGAUCGUAAAACUCUGUUAGUAGGGAAGAACAAAUGUGUAAGUAACUAUGCACGUCUUGACGGUACCUAAUCAGAAAGCCACGGCUAACUACG
rnacentral:rRNA from 1 species